rfam:Tinamus guttatus contig42200, whole genome shotgun sequence.
UGCUGGCCAAUGCCCUUUUAACAUUGCACUGCUUUUUGUGCGUGAUCACUAGUAGUACAACAUAAAAAGGGCAUUGGACAGGCA